rnacentral:rRNA from 1 species
ACCGGCGAUACCCGAAUGGGGAAACCCAGUGUGAUUCGUCACACUAUCAUUAACUGAAUCCAUAGGUUAAUGAGGCGAACCGGGGGAACUGAAACAUCUAAGUACCCCGAGGAAAAGAAAUCAACCGAGAUUCCCCCAGUAGCGGCGAGCGAACGGGGAGGAGCCCAGAGCCUGAAUCAGCAUGUGUGUUAGUGGAAGCGUCUGGAAAGGCGCGCGAUACAGGGUGACAGCCCCGUACACAAAAGCGCAUGUGCUGUGAGCUCGAUGAGUAGGGCGGGACACGUGGUAUCCUGUCUGAAUAUGGGGGGACCAUCCUCCAAGGCUAAAUACUCCUGACUGACCGAUAGUGAACCAGUACCGUGAGGGAAAGGCGAAAAGAACCCCGGCGAGGGGAGUGAAAAAGAACCUGAAACCGUGUACGUACAAGCAGUGGGAGCACCCUUUGGGUGUGACUGCGUACCUUUUGUAUAAUGGGUCAGCGACUUAUAUUCUGUAGCAAGGUUAACCGAAUAGGGGAGCCGGAGGGAAACCGAGUCUUAACCGGGCGUUAAGUUGCAGGGUAUAGACCCGAAACCCGGUGAUCUAGCCAUGGGCAGGUUGAAGGUUGGGUAACACUAACUGGAGGACCGAACCGACUAAUGUUGAAAAAUUAGCGGAUGACCUGUGGCUGGGGGUGAAAGGCCAAUCAAACCGGGAGAUAGCUGGUUCUCCCCGAAAGCUAUUUAGGUAGCGCCUCGUGAAUUCAUCUCCGGGGGUAGAGCACUGUUUCGGCUAGGGGGCCAUCCCGGCUUACCAACCCGAUGCAAACUGCGAAUACCGGAGAAUGUUAUCACGGGAGACACACGGCGGGUGCUAACGUCCGUCGUGAAGAGGGAAACAACCCAGACCGCCAGCUAAGGUCCCAAAGUCAUGGUUAAGUGGGAAACGAUGUGGGAAGGCCCAGACAGCCAGGAUGUUGGCUUAGAAGCAGCCAUCAUUUAAAGAAAGCGUAAUAGCUCACUGGUCGAGUCGGCCUGCGCGGAAGAUGUAACGGGGCUAAACCAUGCACCGAAGCUGCGGCAGCGACACUGUGUGUUGUUGGGUAGGGGAGCGUUCUGUAAGCCUGUGAAGGUGUGUCGUGAGGCAUGCUGGAGGUAUCAGAAGUGCGAAUGCUGACAUAAGUAACGAUAAAGCGGGUGAAAAGCCCGCUCGCCGGAAGACCAAGGGUUCCUGUCCAACGUUAAUCGGGGCAGGGUGAGUCGACCCCUAAGGCGAGGCCGAAAGGCGUAGUCGAUGGGAAACGGGUUAAUAUUCCCGUACUUGGUGUUACUGCGAAGGGGGGACGGAGAAGGCUAUGUUGGCCGGGCGACGGUUGUCCCGGUUUAAGCGUGUAGGUGUGUGUUCCAGGUAAAUCCGGUUCACUUUAACACUGAGGCGUGACGACGAGGCACUACGGUGCUGAAGCAACAAAUGCCCUGCUUCCAGGAAAAGCCUCUAAGCAUCAGGUAACAUCAAAUCGUACCCCAAACCGACACAGGUGGUCAGGUAGAGAAUACCAAGGCGCUUGAGAGAACUCGGGUGAAGGAACUAGGCAAAAUGGUGCCGUAACUUCGGGAGAAGGCACGCUGACACGUAGGUGAAGUGAUUUACUCAUGGAGCUGAAGUCAGUCGAAGAUACCAGCUGGCUGCAACUGUUUAUUAAAAACACAGCACUGUGCAAACACGAAAGUGGACGUAUACGGUGUGACGCCUGCCCGGUGCCGGAAGGUUAAUUGAUGGGGUCAGCGCAAGCGAAGCUCCUGAUCGAAGCCCCGGUAAACGGCGGCCGUAACUAUAACGGUCCUAAGGUAGCGAAAUUCCUUGUCGGGUAAGUUCCGACCUGCACGAAUGGCGUAAUGAUGGCCAGGCUGUCUCCACCCGAGACUCAGUGAAAUUGAACUCGCUGUGAAGAUGCAGUGUACCCGCGGCAAGACGGAAAGACCCCGUGAACCUUUACUAUAGCUUGACACUGAACAUUGAGCCUUGAUGUGUAGGAUAGGUGGGAGGCUUUGAAGUGUGGACGCCAGUCUGCAUGGAGCCGACCUUGAAAUACCACCCUUUAAUGUUUGAUGUUCUAACGUGGACCCGUUACCCGGGUUGCGGACAGUGUCUGGUGGGUAGUUUGACUGGGGCGGUCUCCUCCUAAAGAGUAACGGAGGAGCACGAAGGUUGGCUAAUCCUGGUCGGACAUCAGGAGGUUAGUGCAAUGGCAUAAGCCAGCUUGACUGCGAGCGUGACGGCGCGAGCAGGUGCGAAAGCAGGUCAUAGUGAUCCGGUGGUUCUGAAUGGAAGGGCCAUCGCUCAACGGAUAAAAGGUACUCCGGGGAUAACAGGCUGAUACCGCCCAAGAGUUCAUAUCGACGGCGGUGUUUGGCACCUCGAUGUCGGCUCAUCACAUCCUGGGGCUGAAGUAGGUCCCAAGGGUAUGGCUGUUCGCCAUUUAAAGUGGUACGCGAGCUGGGUUUAGAACGUCGUGAGACAGUUCGGUCCCUAUCUGCCGUGGGCGCUGGAGAACUGAGGGGGGCUGCUCCUAGUACGAGAGGACCGGAGUGGACGCAUCACUGGUGUUCGGGUUGUCAUGCCAAUGGCACUGCCCGGUAGCUAAAUGCGGAAGAGAUAAGUGCUGAAAGCAUCUAAGCACGAAACUUGCCCCGA